GGUAACGGCGGGUCCCGCGUCCUCCUCCAUGUCCCCGCCUACCCCCGCCGCAGCCCGCCCCGUCUCCUCCUCCCUCCGCAGCCUCGCCGAGUCCUCGGUGCGGGCUGCGAGUGGGACUCGGGGAGCCACUCUGUCCUCGACGCCUCCGCCGGGCGCGGGCUGAGGAACCAGCGAGAGCAGACCCGGCCCCUGGCCGCCGCCACCCAACCCCGGGCAUCUGCCCCGCGCCGUUGUCCCCGUGGCAUCGGGCCGGCGGGACCGCCCCGUCCCUUCCAGGGGUGACCCGGGGGUCGCGGGCGGGACGGCGCCUGCGACCGAGUCUGGGGGGCGCCGGGUGUCGGGUCGGGAAGUGGACGCCGCGACUCUUGCCUCGCGGGCGUCGUUGCUCCGCGGGCCUGCCUCUGCGCGCGGGGACAGGUGCCCCGGCCGGGGUCUGUCGGGAAGAUGGCGACCCCGGGCAUGAGCUGGCAGCAGCACUAUUACGGCGGCUCGGCGGCCGGGGCGGCCAAAUUCGCGCCCUCGCCGGCCGCCGCGCAGCUGGCUGGGCACAGCAUGGACUACAGCCAGGAGAUGCACCUGAAAAUGAGCAAGAAAAUCGCCCAGCUCACCAAGGUAAUAUAUGCUUUAAACACUAAAAAUGAUGAGCAUGAAUCUGCAAUUCAAGCCCUCAAAGAUGCUCAUGAAGAAGAAAUUCAACAAAUUCUUGCAGAAACAAGAGAAAAAAUAUUGCAGUAUAAAAGCAAAGUAACAGAGGAGCUAGACCUUAGAAGAAAGAUUCAAGUUUUAGAAGCAUCAUUAGAAGAUCACAUAAAAAUGAAGCAGCAGGCUUUGACAGAAUUUGAAGCUUAUAAGCACAGAGUUGAGGACAUGCAACUUUGUGCAGAAGCCCAGCAUGUGCAACGCAUAGUGACCAUGUCUAGAGAAGUCGAAGAGAUUAGAAGGAAAUUUGAAGAAAAAUUACGGAGCUUUGGACAGCUUCAGGUACAGUUUGAAAAAGACAAACGAUUGGCAUUGGAAGACCUGCGGACUGCUCACAGACGGGAGAUACAAGAGCUAUUGAAGUCACAGCAGGAUCACAGUGCCUCAGUAAAUAAAGGGCAGGAGAAGGCAGAGGAACUACACAGAAUGGAGGUGGAGUCCUUAAACAAAAUGCUUGAGGAGCUAAGACUUGAACAGAAGAAACUAAUUGAGGAUUAUGAAGGCAAGUUGAAUAAAGCUCAGUCCUUUUAUGAGCGUGAGCUUGACACUUUGAAAAGGUCACAGCUUUUUACAGCAGAAAGCCUCCAGGCCAGCAAAGAAAAGGAAGCUGAUCUUAGAAAAGAAUUUCAGGGACAAGAAGCAAUUUUACGAAAAACCAUAGGAAAAUUAAAGACAGAGUUACAGAUGGUACAGGAUGAAGCUGGAAGUCUUCUUGACAAAUGCCAAAAGCUUCAGACGGCACUUGCCACAGCAGAGAACAAUGUUCAGGGUCUUCAAAAACAGCUUGAUGAUGCCAAGGAGGGAGAAAUGGCCCUAUUAAGCAAGCACAAAGAAGUGGAAAGUGAGCUAGCAGCUGCCAGAGAACGUUUACAACAGCAAGCUUCAGAUCUUGUCCUCAAAGCUAGUCAUAUUGGAAUGCUUCAAGCAACUCAAAUGACCCAAGAAGUUACGAUUAAAGAUUUAGAAUCAGAAAAAUCGAGAGCCAAUGAGAGAUUAUCUCAACUUGAAGAGGAAAGAGCUUUUUUGCAAAGCAAAACCCAAAGUCUGGAUGAAGAGCAGAAGCAACAGAUUCUAGAACUGGAGAAGAAAGUAAGUGAAGCAAAGAGAACUCAGCAAGAAUAUUAUGAAAGGGAACUUAAAAACCUGCAAAAUAGAUUGGAAGAGGAGGUGACUCAAUUAAACGAGGCCCAUUCUAAGACUUUGGAAGAAUUAGCUUGGAAGCACCAUAUGGCAAUUGAAGCUGUCCACAGUAAUGCAAUUAGGGAUAAGAAAAAACUGCAAAUGGAAUUGGAAGAACAACAUAACAAAGAGAAACUAAACCUAGAAGAGGAUAAAAAUCAGCUUCAACAAGAGCUAGAAAACCUAAAGGAAGUACUGGAAGACAAGCUGAAUACAGCCAAUCAAGAGAUUGGCCGCCUCCAAGAUCUGGUAAGGAAAAGUGAACAAGGUCUUGGCUCUGCAGAAGGACUUAUUGCUAGUCUUCAGGACUCCCAGGAAAGGCUUCAGACUGAGCUUGAUUUGACUAAAGACAGCCUAAAGGAGACCAAGGAUGCUCUAUUAAAUGUGGAGGGUGAGCUAGAACAAGAAAGGCAACAGCAUGAAGAAACAAUUGCUGCCAUGAAAGAAGACGAGAAGCUCAAAGUGGACAAAAUGGCCCAUGACUUAGAAAUCAAGUGGACUGAAAAUCUUAGGCAAGAGUGUUCUAAACUUCGUGAAGAGUUAAGGCUUCAACAUGAAGAGGAUAAGAAGUCAGCAAUGUCUCAACUUUUGCAGUUGAAAGAGCGAGAGAAAAACGCAGCAAGAGAUUCAUGGCAGAAGAAAGUAGAAGAUCUCUUAAACCAGAUUUCCUUGCUGAAACAGAAUCUGGAGAUACAGCUUUCCCAGUCUCAGACUUCUUUGCAACAACUGCAAGCCCAGUUUACGCAAGAACGACAGCGGCUUACGCAAGAGCUUGAAGAAUUAGAGGAGCAACAUCAGCAAAGACACAAAUCAUUAAAAGAAGCACAUGUCCUUGCAUUUCAAACUAUGGAAGAGGAAAAGGAAAAGGAGCAGAGAGCUCUUGAAAAUCAUUUACAACAGAAGCAUUCUGCAGAGCUUCAAUCAUUGAAAGAUGCACACAGAGAGUCAAUGGAGGGCUUCCGAAUAGAAAUGGAACAGGAACUUCAGACUCUUCGGUUUGAAUUAGAAGAUGAAGGAAAGGCUAUGCUUGCUUCCUUGCGCUCAGAACUCAACCAUCAACAUGCAGCUGCAAUUGAUUUGUUACGGCAUAAUCAUCAUCAAGAAUUGGCAGCUGCUAAAAUGGAAUUAGAGAGAAGCAUAGACAUCAGCAGAAGACAGAGUAAGGAGCACAUGUGUAGAAUUACAGAUCUACAAGAGGAAUUAAGACACAGAGAGCAUCACAUCUCUGAAUUGGAUAAGGAGGUUCAGCACCUUCAUGAGAAUAUAAGUGCCCUAACCAAAGAACUGGAAUUUAAGGGGAAAGAAAUUCUCAGAAUACGAAGUGAAUCUAACCAACAGAUAAGGUUGCAUGAACAAGAUUUAAACAAGAGGCUUGAAAAAGAGUUGGAUGUCAUGACAGCAGACCACCUCAGAGAGAAAAAUAUCAUGCGGGCAGAUUUUAAUAAGACUAACGAGCUACUCAAGGAAAUAAAUGCAGCCUUACAAGUGUCAUUAGAAGAAAUGGAAGAAAAAUAUCUAAUGAGAGAAUCAAAACCAGAAGAUAUACAGAUGAUUACAGAAUUAAAAGCUAUGCUUACUGAAAGAGACCAGAUCAUAAAGAAACUAAUUGAGGAUAAUAAGUUUUAUCAGCUGGAAUUAGUCAAUCGAGAAACUAACUUCAACAAAGUGUUUAACUCAAGUCCUACUGUUGGUGUUAUUAAUCCAUUGGCUAAGGCAAGAACUGCCUCCCUUUGACAGAUGGCUAAAUUUCAUGGACCUCUCUUUUAAAAUUAUGCUUAACUUUUACCCCUUCUCCUAAUUUUAGCCUAAAUCCAUUUAACCUUCUAUCUGCAAGACUUGCUUUCUCCCCCAGCCCUUUUCCCCUUUUCUUCCCAAAAGGGUAUUCUUUACCCCUUGGCACUCUUUUUACCUUCUCUCCCAUUCCUCGUGAAUGACUCCUGAAUGUUUCUUCCUCAGUCUUUCUGUCCUGGUAGCAUGUCUGUCUCUGAGGAUUCCAUGUAGAUAAAAAAUUACCUCCAAGGAUUCCCAGACCACAGUUUGGGUAACACUGGUUAAUUAACAUCUUAAUUUAACAUAAAGCUUCCAAAAUUUUCCUAUGCCAAAUUUCUAUCUUCUACCAUUCCUAUUUUCUCAUUUGUCCUCAUGCAGGGACUAUCCUCACAUGUAUUAUUUUUAAUGCAGCAAAAGAAGAAGAAUGAUAAAUCACCAACAAACAGGUUUGUGAGUGUUCCCAAUCUAAGUGCUCUGGAAUCUGGUGGAGUGGGCAAUGGACAUCCUAACCGCCUGGAUCCCAUUCCUAAUUCUCCAGUCCACGAUAUUGAGUUCAGCAGCAGCAAACCACUUCCACAGCCAGUGCCACCUAAAGGGCCCAAGACAUUUUUGAGUCCUGCUCAGAGUGAAGCUUCUCCAGUGGCUUCUCCAGAUCCCCAGCGCCAGGAGUGGUUUGCCCGGUACUUCACAUUCUGAAAGAAUUGUGUUGACACAGCUCUGUAUGGACUGUUACUGAGAGCAUGACUUUAUACAGAUUGAUAUGUAAAUAGGCUUUCCUAUGUCAAACACUGUGAAUGAGAAAGUCUUUGUCUCUCCAAUUUGAAAAUGCACUGUAUUUCCUGUGAUAUUUAUUGGAAUCAUUCUAUAAGGUACUAUAUGAUGUGUGUAAUUAUAACUGUUAUUUUUAUUUGAGAUGGAAGAGGCUUUAACCUUUGUAAUUACUGCAUAAUAAAUUUUGUUAGAACAAAAAA